rnacentral:rRNA from 1 species
GACGAACGCUGGCGGCGUGCCUAAUACAUGCAAGUAGAACGCAGUGGCGAACGGGUGAGUAACGUGUAGGUAACUGCCUCAUAGCGGGGGAUAACUAUUGGAAACGAUAGCCAAUACCGCAUACUGUGAGAUGGACCUGCGUUGCAUUAGGUAGUUGGUGAGGUAAAGGCUCACCAAGGCGACGAUACAUAGCCGACCUGGGAGGGUGAACGGCCACACUGGGAAUGGGAACCGGGCCAGACUCCUACGGGAGGCAGCAGUUGGGAAACUUCGGAAAUUGACGGAAGUCUGGCCGAGCAACGCCGCGUGGGUUGAGAAGGUUUUCGGAUCGUAAAGCUCUGUUGUUAGAGAAGCGGUACCUGACCAGAAAGGGACGGCUAACUACGUGCCAGCAGCCGCGGUAAUUC